rnacentral:rRNA from 1 species
AGUGAACGCUGGCGGUAGGCCUAACACAUGCAAGUCGAACGGCAGCACAGUAAGAGCUUGCUCUUACGGGUGGCGAGUGGCGGACGGGUGAGGAAUACAUCGGAAUCUACUUUUUCGUGGGGGAUAACGUAGGGAAACUUACGCUAAUACCGCAUACGACCUACGGGUGAAAGCAGGGGAUCUUCGGACCUUGCGCGAUUGAAUGAGCUGAUGUCGGAUUAGCUAGUUGGCGGGGUAAAGGCCCACCAAGGCGACGAUCCGUAGCUGGUCUGAGAGGAUGAUCGGCCACACUGGAACUGAGACACGGUCCAGACUCCUACGGGAGGCAGCAGUGGGGAAUAUUGGACAAUGGGCGCAAGCCUGAUCCAGCCAUACCGCGUGGGUGAAGAAGGCCUUCGGGUUGUAAAGCCCUUUUGUUGGGAAAGAAAAGCAGCAGGUUAAUACCCCGCUGUUCUGACGGUACCCAAAGAAUAAGCACCGGCUAACUUCGUG